AUUGAACGCUGGCGGCAGGCCUAACACAUGCAAGUCGAACGAGUAGCGGACGGGUGAGUAGUGUCUGGGAAACUGCCUGAUGUAGGGGGCUAACUACUGGAAACGGUAGCUAAUACCGCAUACCAUCGGAUGUGCCCACAUGGGAUUAGCUAGUAGGUGGGGUAAAGGCUCACCUAGGCGACGAUGCCUAGCUGGUCUGAGAGGAUGACCAGCCACACUGGAACUGAGACACGGUCCAGACUCCUACGUGAGGCAGCAGUGGGGAAUAUUGCACAAUGGGCGAAAGCCUGACGGAGCAAUGCCGCGUGUAUGAAGAAGGCUUUCGGGUUGUAAAGUACUUUUAGCGGGGAGGCGGUAUCCAAAGAAGAAGCCACGGCUAACUCCGUGCCAGCAGCCGCGGUAAUAC
rnacentral:rRNA from 1 species